CUUGUCUUUUGUCUUACUGUCUGUCUGUCUUUUAUUUCAUUUUAUUUCACUAUUGAAUUUAAUUGAAAUUGAUUCUUUCAUUUUUGUAGUCUUUCAAAACGAGUAAAGUAUAGGCACUAUAAAUGUUAAGACAUUAUCAUCGCCCAAAGUGACAGUCACUUUAAUUUAAAAGUGACUAAAGGUGUAUCAGUACUCAUACUGUUUUAUGUUAGAACAAUCAGCAAUCGAUUUUAUUCAACAAGCUGUUUAUUGAGCAUCAAUUUUGGACGGCGAUUGCAUCCAGAUGGUUUUUUCCAAUCUAAUUCAAUUUUUUCUGUACCUACCCAAAAUGUUUUUACUCCCCCCGUUGAGUCAAGGUACUAUUGACCAUUUACUUCAUAUGAUAACUGAAGAAAGAGAUAAAAAAUGGUAUUGAAUUCAGUUGUUGCGUCUCUUGAAACUUUAUCAAAAUCUCGCUCUACACAAAUUGUUCAAAAUAUGAUACAUCAAUUUCAAAAUUCGUUGAGUAUUGUUGAAUCUAAAAGUUCACUAUCUGCUAUGAAACAACUUUGUGAAAACCUCUAUGAUGAUUUUGAUGUGGAGCUUACAAAUAAUUUGGUUUAAUUUGCCACUAAUGAAAUGUUUAAAUCCUCAGACUCUCAGUUUCCAGCAUCAGAUAUGUUGAUCAUCUUAAGUCGAUGAAGAUCUGAUCAGUGAUUGGUGAGAUGUGUGCGUCUGUUAUUGAAUAUGAACCAUCAGUUAUAGAUGCAACUAAACAAAAUUUGUCACCUAAAUUAGAAAAAAUAUACAAAAUUAUUAAUGAUGUUUGGUUAAUUUCCAAGGUUAUAAAGG